rnacentral:misc_RNA from 1 species
CUCCUCCCAGCCCCUCCCCCCUCCCUCCCUCCACGCCAGCAAAUCAUAAAGACAAAUGAUAAUGUUUAAUGAAUUGCAAUCAAGGGUUUAAUGCAUAGACACAAACAUCAACGAUACAUGGAAACCCAUUUUUCUUGUUCCCGACAAUAGCCACAAUUUUCAACAACAGACAACAGAUACUAGGAAUUUCAUUGAAAGUUUGCAACCAGUGUGUGCAUAAAAUAUAGAAAUAAGGAGUCACUCUGGAUUCAUGAAAGCUACCUACUUGCUAAAACUAGUCUUUUCGGAGACAAUGGAGACGUUUCAUGUAAUUCUAAGCAGUUGUCUAAUUUAAGCUAGUAAUGUAAGCAAACUAAUUCUAGAAAAAUAAAUGAUGGGAUUCCCUUAAGUCUGCAAUGUUAAUGCAAGUGGAGCAAACAGUAUGAAGGUACAAAUCAGGGUAAGUGACAAUGCAGUCGCCAUGGCCGAAGGAAGGAACAACAAAAAGGGCCAAAUGUCCAAGGAAAAGUUGAAAGCCUAUCAUUUACAGAAUUGUAUGACUUGGUGUGGUGUGACAGUAAUGGACAAAGAAUACCAAAUUAACCCAAACGCAAUAAUACAAACACACACAAAAAAAUAAGUGGUGCAGACUGCAAAUAUAUUGGAAAUGAAAUCACACUUUCUCCUCUUCCCUUCGAUCCUUUUUUUCCCCUGAGCUUAUUGCAAAUAAAAAUUUUCAAAAAUUCUUUCUUUCAGGGAAACUUUUCAUUUCUCGAAGCCAACAGGCAAAAACCCUAAUCCACAAUAAUGCUCGAUAAGCUACUGUCUCAAGUAUCCAGGACGAUCAUAACCAAUUGAAUUACAGGCGACAAUUUGCUUCACAGAAUUCUAAGAAAAUAUAAAUUGAACCUCAAAUAUCCUAACUUUAACAUACAUUAAAAACUUAGACCUAAGAAAUUUUGUUCCCAAACAAACAAUAAUUUAGAGUUUAAUUCCAAUUUAGUAAAAGACAAGAUUGAUAAUCAACGAGAAUCAGACAAAGCGAGAUGAAGUGUGAGAAGCGAGGGAAAAUACCU